GAUAAACGCUGGCGGCGUGCCUAACACAUGCAAGUCGAACGCCCUGGAGCAAUUCAGGGAGUGGCGGACGGGUGAGGAACACGUGGGUGAUCUGCCUUGAGGUGAGGAAUACCGGCGAGAAAUCGCCGACAAUACCGCAUAGGUUCGUAAGAACAAAGUCGCAAGACGCCUUGAGAUGAGCCUGCGUCCGAUUAGCCAGUUGGUGGGGUAAUGGCCUACCAAAGCAGCGAUCGGUAGCUGGUCUGAGAGGACGAUCAGCCACACUGGGA
rnacentral:rRNA from 1 species